CAAAAAAAAAAAAAAAAAAAAUUAUGUAACUGUUUCACUUGUGUAUACUGAAGUAUCUCCGAAUAGACUUCCAAGAAAACCAGUCAUCAAACAGGAAAAAGGAUGGCUGAGGUCUAAGGAGUGUGAGGGAGAUUUUUAGUGAAUACCAUUUUAAAAUUUUGAACCAUAUUAAUAUAGGUCUAUUUUUUAAAUAAAUUUUUUAAGCGAAAU